GGGUUGUGAGGUUAAGCGACUAAGCGUACACGGUGGAUGCCCUGGCAGUCAGAGGCGAUGAAGGACGUGCUAAUCUGCGAUAAGCGUCGGUGAGGUGAUAUGAACCGUUAUAACCGGCGAUUUCCGAAUGGGGAAACCCAGUGUGUUUCGACACACUAUCAUUAACUGAAUCCAUAGGUUAAUGAGGCGAACCGGGGGAACUGAAACAUCUAAGUACCCCGAGGAAAAGAAAUCAACCGAGAUUCCCCCAGUAGCGGCGAGCGAACGGGGAGGAGCCCAGAGCCUGAAUCAGUGUGUGUGUUAGUGGAAGCGUCUGGAAAGGCGCGCGAUACAGGGUGACAGCCCCGUACACAAAAAUGCACAUAUUGUGAGCUCGAUGAGUAGGGCGGGACACGUGGUAUCCUGUCUGAAUAUGGGGGGACCAUCCUCCAAGGCUAAAUACUCCUGACUGACCGAUAGUGAACCAGUACCGUGAGGGAAAGGCGAAAAGAACCCCGGCGAGGGGAGUGAAAAAGAACCUGAAACCGUGUACGUACAAGCAGUGGGAGCCUCUUAAUGGGGUGACUGCGUACCUUUUGUAUAAUGGGUCAGCGACUUAUAUUCUGUAGCAAGGUUAACCGAAUAGGGGAGCCGAAGGGAAACCGAGUCUUAACUGGGCGUUAAGUUGCAGGGUAUAGACCCGAAACCCGGUGAUCUAGCCAUGGGCAGGUUGAAGGUUGGGUAACACUAACUGGAGGACCGAACCGACUAAUGUUGAAAAAUUAGCGGAUGACUUGUGGCUGGGGGUGAAAGGCCAAUCAAACCGGGAGAUAGCUGGUUCUCCCCGAAAGCUAUUUAGGUAGCGCCUCGUGAAUUCAUCUCCGGGGGUAGAGCACUGUUUCGGCAAGGGGGUCAUCCCGACUUACCAACCCGAUGCAAACUGCGAAUACCGGAGAAUGUUAUCACGGGAGACACACGGCGGGUGCUAACGUCCGUCGUGAAGAGGGAAACAACCCAGACCGCCAGCUAAGGUCCCAAAGUCAUGGUUAAGUGGGAAACGAUGUGGGAAGGCCCAGACAGCCAGGAUGUUGGCUUAGAAGCAGCCAUCAUUUAAAGAAAGCGUAAUAGCUCACUGGUCGAGUCGGCCUGCGCGGAAGAUGUAACGGGGCUAAACCAUGCACCGAAGCUGCGGCAGCGACACUAUGUGUUGUUGGGUAGGGGAGCGUUCUGUAAGCCUGUGAAGGUGUACUGUGAGGUAUGCUGGAGGUAUCAGAAGUGCGAAUGCUGACAUAAGUAACGAUAAAGCGGGUGAAAAGCCCGCUCGCCGG
rnacentral:rRNA from 1 species